AUUGAACGCUGGCGGCAGGCCUAACACAUGCAAGUCGAGCGGAUGAAGGGAGCUCGCUCCUGGAUUCAGCGGCGGACGGGUGAGUAAUGCCUAGGAAUCUGCCUGGUAGUGGGGGAUAACGUCCGGAAACGGGCGCUAAUACCGCAUACGUCCUGAGGGAGAAAGUGGGGGAUCUUCGGACCUCACGCUAUCAGAUGAGCCUAGGUCGGAUUAGCUAGGUGGUGGGGUAAAGGCCUACCAAGGCGACGAUCCGUAACUGGUCGGAGAGGAUGAUCAGUCACACUGGAACUGAGACACGGUCCAGACUCCUACGGGAGGCAGCAGUGGGGAAUAUUGGACAAUGGGCGAAAGCCUGAUCCAGCCAUGCCGCGUGUGUGAAGAAGGUCUUCGGAUUGUAAAGCACUUUAAGUUGGGAGGAAGGGCAGUAAGUUAAUACCUUGCUGUUUUGACGUUACCAACAGAAUAAGCACCGGCUAACUUCGUG
rnacentral:rRNA from 1 species